GAGGCGUAUUAGAAAGAGUGAGGAAGCUGGCCGUCUCCUAAGGAAGAUGUUGAGGGAAGCAGGUGCUCUGACCAAGGGGCUGGGGCCUGUGGCAUUGACCUCAUAGCUUUAUCAGGAUUGCCCAUUGCUCAUCUCAGAGGAUCUCAAAGUGAAGACCUGGCCGCGAAGCAGGAAGCGCCAGGAUUAGAGCCGCCCGGAGCUGGUAUGCGGGAAGAUAAAGCAAUGGAGGAACAGGGAAAUUAAGUGACUUGCCCAAGGUCACACGGCUAGCUGUCUGCUCCAGCUGCUGCAGGAACAGGACCUGUGAGAGAAGCCCUUCCAGAGGGGCUUGUGGAAGAAUUGAGGAAAUGAUUUGAGGAAUGGUCACCCAAGCGACGGCCUUCUCUGUGGAAACAGUUUUCCUUGGUCACAGUGGAGAAAAUUAGGACAUAAACACAGACAUGUGCAGAGGAAGACUGUGUGAAUGGACAUGGGAAGAACUGCCACAAGCCAAAGAAUGCCCUAGGCUACCAAGAUGGAAGAGGCUUUGGUUUCUUGUAUAAACUUAUUCCUACCUCACGUUGUCGUGGAGAUUAAACGUGAAUGUAUGCAGACACAAUUACUAACAGUGCAAAUGAUUGUCCAAAGUAGGAAUUUUAGAGCUUGUGUCCAUGUGAUUCCUCUCUCAGCCUGGUCCCUGAAUGACUGAACAAGAAGACCCACUUCCAGUUUGUGUGGAACAUGUCACAUGAGCAAGAAAUAAAACCCCAUUUGCACAAAACUACUGAGAUAUUGGGACUGUUUAUUUCUGCAGCAUGACCAGCUCAUCCUCGCUGACUGACACAGCCCUGAAACACAACAGUCUCCAGACAGGAUCCUCUAAUGUUGGGCCUUCCUGUCAGUGACCUGGAUGUGACUUUAGCAGACAACA